rnacentral:rRNA from 1 species
AUGCGAUGGAAUAAUCAAAAGGGUAAUUUGAUGGUCUACACUUAUCACGCUGAUCCUUCUGCCGCUUCCUUCUCCUUCCCUCUCGUUGUCGUCGUCGUCGUUGUGGCUGCCGCCGCUGCGGUGGUACUAGUAGCGCCGGCGCUACUACUUCUAGUCGGAGGAGACGCUGGCGUUGUGUGCUGUUGCUCAGCGGACUGUGACGGCUCGUCCUCGUCGUCCUCGCCGCCUCCGGAGGUCGCUGCCGCCUCCGCGGCGGUGACAACGGGAGGCGGCGCCGCGGGGGCGGACGUGCUGCCGCGCUUGCGCUUCUUCUUCUCGUAG